GUGUCAGCAGCCGCGGUAAGACGAACCGUGCGAACGUUGUUCGGAAUCACUGGGCUUAAAGGGCGCGUAGGCGGGUGUGCAAGUCUGUGGUGAAAGCCUCCAGCUUAACUGGAGAAGUGCCAUGGAUACUGCACAUCUUGAGGAGGGUAGGGGCAUCUGGAACGGUCGGUGGAGCGGUGAAAUGCGUUGAUAUCGACCGGAACUCCGGUGGCGAAGGCGAGGUGCUGGACCCUUUCUGACGCUGAGGCGCGAAAGCCAGGGGAGCAAACGGGAUUAGAUACCCCGGUAGUCC
rnacentral:rRNA from 1 species